UGAUUUUCUCUACCUCCUCCCAUCAUGCAGCAGGGGGGCAGGGAAUGGGAGAGUCAGUCAGUUCACCAUUGUGUCUGCUGCUCCUUCUUCCCCAGGGACAGGAUCAAGAAUAACUGCCCCCUCAGGACUGCAAACUCCGCCAAGGCAUGAUCACUGCAGCCCAGGCUGCCUCCAAUCUUGGUGUCCCCAGCUGGCUCUCUUACAAUGGUGACCAUAAGAUCCUGUAUCACAUUCCAUCUGGCAGGGCUGCCUAUUACCUGGGUCAGAAAGUUAUCUUCCAUGUUUUCCAGAAGUCUUCUGGAUUGCCUACAGCUCAUUGUGCAACUUUCCCAGCAGACGUCAGGAUGGCUGAAGCCCCUGUGAAGACAAGAGCCUGUGAGCAUGAUGCCUCCUGUAGCUGCAGCAAGAAGGCUUCAUCAGUAGGAUCCCAUUGAUCAAGGGCCUGUACUAGACACUGGCCACAAAGUUUUCUUUGUUGCCUUGGUCUCAGAUUCUUACCCACAGGCUUUUGACCUUCUCAUGGCUGUUCUUCAGAAAUAACUCCUCACACUCAAUCCACCUCUUAAUGCAGAGGGCAACUCCUCCACCUCUCCUUCCUCCCCUGCCUCUUUUAAAUAGCCUGUAGCCUUUGAAAGUCACACUCCAGGCAUGGAAUUCAUUCCAUCAAAGUUUCAGUAAUGGCAACAAGGUCAUAGGUUUCUAGCAGCAUGGUGGUAUCUUCCAAUUCUUUCUGUUUCUGCCCAUGCUGCAUGAAUUGGUUUAAAGGCACCUAAGCUGGAGUCUUGGCUGUGUCACAUUCCUAGAGGUGAACCCCUUAACUCUUUUGGGAUAUUUCUCUGGUGCUUUCCUUUUGGCUUCUGUUAUCAGAUGAGGCCCUGGCUUGUCUCUGUAAGACUGCAAGUGUGUUAUCUAACUAAGUCUUGUCAAUCACUGAUCCAUAAACUUGGCUAAGAUUUUAAUAAUUUGUAAAGUCGAAACCCUUCCACUGCAUUCUUCUCUUUGGUCAUAAGACACAGACUGACUCAGUUUGAUCUAAAUAAAAUGAAGAAAGGUGCUGAGCUCCCAGCUUUGUGAGUGGCACAUGUUAUUGCCAAAAGGGGUCAUGGUUACUGAAUUCAUAUAUAAUAUCUAAAAAGUGUAUUGAGAGACACACUCUCCUUCAUGAAGAAAUGGUUUUUAUACAGAAAGCAAAACAAUCUAGGGCACUGCAGUCACAAUUAUGCAACUAUCACUGCUGACUGCUGGUAGCUGGCUGCUAAUCUCCCAGCUAAUCAAUGCAUUGGUUUAUCACUGGGUCACAAAGACAGGUGGAAUUAUUUCUCUUGUUACAUUCCUGUUUUGAUAAGAUGCAGCAUUCUUCUAAUAAGAACAUUUUUUUGUGAUCAUAUGAAAUAGAUUAAAUCCAAAUGUAAAGGAAAUAGAAAAUAGUUUCAAAAAUCAGAAAAAAAGAAAGAAGAUUUCUUUGUGCAAUAAUCAGAACUGUUAUGUUUAAUUCUGCUUACAUGGCUACCAAGUAAAGCAUUUUACAAAUCACAGGCACUGCACAUUAAUCAAGGGAAUAGUUCUUUUUAUUGAAAGCACUUGAAUUUAUUCUUUGCAAUAAUCAAGUAAAACAAGACCAGAUUUAAUAAUUGUUAUGAAGUUAAUUUUAGAAUUGGUAUCUAACAAGUGACCUUGAUGAUAAAAGUAUGUGGGUGGAUGUAGGAUGUGGGGUGAUAAUUAUUAGAGUGGUUAAGGCUUAUGCUCACCAGAAGGUGCCAUGGGAAAGGCUCAGCUGCAGGCUGGAUGGGCAGAAGUCAGCUGAGGAGUGAGAGGCAGUUAUGAGUGAGGAGAGAGUCAUUUGGAAGGGAGAUUGUGAUUGGCUGGAGGAACACAUAGACAGCGUAUGAACAGGAAGCUGAUUGGAUGGUAGGACAAGCGGACAGCGGCGUGGAAGCUGAGCCAGCCAAUGGGUGCCUUCUUUCUUUUAAGUUCUGUUAUGUCUCAGUUUGGUUUCACUUAUGUCAGGAUAAAAUUAAAGCUGAAGAAAGUGAGAAAAUAAGAUGAAAAACUCAUGGGUCAAGAUAAAGACAGCUUGCUAUAAGAAAACAAAAGCUUCCACAGAAACAAAGCAAAAAAAAAUUAUUUACUUCCCAUCAGAAGGAGAUAUUCAGACUUUUUCUGGUAAAUCUGUGUCAUAAUUGGGGUUUCUACACACACACACACACACACUCUCCCUUACUGGCAUAUUUAGCAAUAAGAAUGUGACCCCUUUUAACCACAUUCUGCUGCCAGAAGCUCCCUGAAAAACUGGCUAGUUUACUAUAUGAAACCUUUCUGAGAGCUUUCAGAUCACUCAGCAUUCCAAAUUCAAGAGUGGUUACAGACUACCUGAUCCCAAGAAGGGUCCUUUGUGAAGGUAUACUUGCUCUUACAAGAUAAGAAAUUAAGAAAGAAUGAAAUGGAUUUCACAUUGAACAAGUUACUGGAGAAUAACACGACUGUGCUCCAGAGCAAGACAUGUGAGAAAGAGGAAGUUAGUACAUGCGUAACACAUCUUUCACUCAGCUGUCAGACGUGUACAGAUUAUGAAUGAAAACUAAGAAAGCUGGAAUUACAGGCAAGAAAUACAGGCUCAACAGCUAGAUUUAUCAAAUAGAAGGAAACUUAACGGGGAUGACUUUGAAGGCAAGCCAGUAUGAAGUACCAAGUAGGGUUUUCACCAUUCCCUGUCUGAUUAAAAUCGCACCUUUAAUGAUUUCUAUCCGAUAUUGAUGUUCUAUGCUCACUGAUUUAUGCAUGAAGUCUGGAAACAGCACAACAAAUAAAUGCUUCCCAUGUAUUAUUUUUUCACUUCAGACUCAGUAUC